GACGAACGCUGGCGGUGUGCUUCACACAUGCAAGUCGAGCGCCCCGCAAGGGGAGCGGCGGACGGGUGAGUAACACGUGGGAAUUUUCCUCAAGGUACGGAACAACUCAGGGAAACUUGGGCUAAUACCGUAUGAUGCAGAGAUGCCAAAGAUUUAUCGCCUUGGGAUAAGCCCGCGUCAGAUUAGGUAGUUGGUGGGGUAAUGGCCUACCAAGCCUGUGAUCUGUAGCUGGUCUGAGAGGACGAUCAGCCACAUUGGGACUGAGACACGGCCCAAACUCCUACGGGAGGCAGCAGUGGGGAAUCUUGCGCAAUGGACGAAAGUCUGACGCAGCCAUGCCGCGUGAAUGAUGAAGGUCUUAGGAUUGUAAAGUUCUUUAGCCUGUGACGAUGAUGACGGUAACAGGAGAAUAAGCCCCGGCUAACUUCGUG
rnacentral:rRNA from 1 species